UCUCUCCUAUUCUGCAAGAAAAAACUACAUUGAAGACUCAAACUCGCGAUCGAGUGACUGCCGGGAUUGAGGCGCAAACUCGCAACCUUGCGGAUAUGAGCCGAGCACUCUACCACUGAGCCAGCCGUUAAAAUCUACGCUAAAAAUCUUCCAUUCCGAAAGCCAAAAAAUUCCGAAUUAUGAAAAGUGUCUAGUCCCAAGGCUUUCGGAUAAAAGGUUGUGCACCUGUACAUCUAAAAACGUAUUUUG